AUUAGGAGUGUCACCACAUUAACUAGUAGUAGUCAGAGCAUCAUUAGGAGUGUCACCACAUUAACUAGUAGUAGGGAGAGCAUCAUUAGGAGUGUCACCACAUUAACUAGUAGUAGUCAGAGCAUCAUUAGGAGUGUCACCACAUUAACUAGUAGUAGGGAGAGCAUCAUUAGGAGUGUCACCACAUUAACUAGUAGUAGGGAGAGCAUCAUUAGGAGUGUCACCACAUUAACUAGUAGUAGGGAGAGCAUCAUUAGGAGUGUCACCACAUUAACUAGUAGUAGUCAGAGCAUCAUUAGGAGUGUCACCACAUUAACUAGCAGUAGUCAGAGCAUCAUUAGGAGUGUCACCACAUUAACUAGUAGUAGUCAGAGCAUCAUCAGGAGGGUCAGAGGUUAUGACUCUCGACCAACAGGAAGAGGAAGUCCCCUGCCUGAAGGGCGGUUUCUGAAAGCUAGCUGACAGAGCGCUGCUGUGCCCGCGGGGGUCAAAGGUCGCACAGUCGCGGUUCUGAUGUCAACGGAGGAAGUUUGUGAAUCCUUCCACGCCUCCACACUUCCUGUGGACGCGGGUCGGCACAUCUGAGGAGGGGGGGUCCACGCCUUCAGGGCUGAUGGGAGGGGUUUGUAGGUUCAGCGUUUCUUAGACCACGGUGUCGGGCCCUCAGCGGGUCUAGGUUGGAGGCGGGUCUAGUUUGGAGGCGGGUCUAGUUUGGAGGCGGGUCUAGUUUGGAGGCGGGUCUAGUUUGGAGGUCGUGGAGAUUAACCGAAGACUUGGAGCCGUACUUCUGACCUGGUCAGAGUGGAGCACAGACAGUCUGGUCUUCUCGGGCUGAAGUUUCCAGAGGACCUUCAUGCUGCUCCUGUUUCUGCUCCAGACGUUCAUUCCAGAAGGUCCUUCUCCCUCCUCAUGAUUCAAGGUGGCAUUAAGAUGAGACAAACUGGACGCGCUGGACAGGGUUGAUGUCUCCUUUCUGGUUGGUUGUUCCAUCUUCUCAGUCGAGGAAUCCCAUCCACAACCCUUGACCUACCGUUAUCCCAAACACCGACCCCUAACCACGUCAGAGCUAAAACUAUAAUUUAUAACAGAGCUAAAACCCUUUAGAACUUAAUAAAUUAAAUAUGUAUCGUCACCCACCAUCCUUAAGCCUGCACUGUGUAAUUUCUGAUAGAGCCAUUAGUUUAGUUUAAAUGUGACUCCUCAUGGUAGUUCUUUAACAUUUUCUAAGCUACUAGAAAAUGAAGCCGUUUCUGAUGCAUCAUGGGA
ensembl:lncRNA